GAAUGUUGCACUAUGUUACCCAAAGAGUGGAUCAAAAUUGCACUAAAACACAACACAAAAAAGGCCAAUUUUAAUCAGUUGAACGACAAGAUAAUCGAUAAAAAACUAAAAAAAGUUUAAACGGUAAGCAUAAGAAAAACCACGCACCUGGGAUGAAGAGAGAAAAAGGAGAGGACGAAGACAAUGACGUUAUGAGAAAAUACAAUGCAAUUCCGGAAGAGAUAAAAAGAAGAGGUGCACAAGGGAGUAAAAGAAGAGGAGAAGCAGAGAAAAAGGAGAAGAAAUGAAGACGCGAUCAGAAACUGAGUGGUUAGAAGGGUCUGCGGUUUAUUUAAAAUGAAAUUGGGCGUCGGUUGCGCCAGAAACCGACGUCUAUAGAUGUCAGUGUUUGAUCGGGAUCCGACGUCUAUUCUUCUUAAAGAAGCUGAAAAGAUUGACGCUUGAUUUCCUGUCAGGGUAGUUCACGUCGCUGCCCCUCCUAGCCGACGUCUAAAACCCUCGAAUUUGGUGAAAAUAAUCAAUUACAGGAACGUAGACGUCGCUUACGUUCAGAACCGACGUCUAAAUUGAAGGAUUUUUGUCUUCCCGCCUUCCAGAUAGGCCUUAGACGUCGUCGUUUGACUACGUGACGUCUAAGCGCCUGGGAAUUUGGUGAACAACAUUAAUUGUAGCCUAAUCGACGUCGCUUGUUCAGGGGAUCCGACGUCUAUUCCACGUCUAUAGUUGAACCGUUUGAUAUU
rnacentral:lncRNA from 1 species